rnacentral:rRNA from 1 species
AGGACGAACGCUGGCGGCGUGCCUAACACAUGCAAGUCGAGCGAGGAGAUUCCUUCGGGAUGAUCCUAGCGGCGGACGGGUGAGUAACACGUGGGCAACCUGCCUCAUAGAGAGGAAUAGCCUUCCGAAAGGGAGAUUAAUACCUCAUAACAUUGCAGUUUCGCAUGGAACAGCAAUUAAAGGAGCAAUCCGCUAUGAGAUGGGCCCGCGGCGCAUUAGCUAGUUGGUGAGGUAACGGCUCACCAAGGCGACGAUGCGUAGCCGACCUGAGAGGGUGAUCGGCCACAUUGGGACUGAGACACGGCCCAGACUCCUACGGGAGGCAGCAGUGGGGAAUAUUGCACAAUGGGGGAAACCCUGAUGCAGCAACGCCGCGUGAGUGAUGACGGCCUUCGGGUUGUAAAGCUCUGUCUUCAGGGACGAUAAUGACGGUACCUGAGGAGGAAGCCACGGCUAACUACGUGCCAGCCGCGGC